rnacentral:tRNA from 1 species
GGGGAGAUGGCUCAAUGGGUAAGAGCACUUGCCAUGCAAGCAUGAGAACCUGGGUUCAAAUCCCCAGCACUUUG